AUAUCUGUCGACGACAACCCACAACAUAUCUCGGUCCAUUUGUAACUUUAACAAUGAACUCCUUGAGACGGCCGUCAAUCUCUUUGUUCUCCAGCAGUUUCUUGCGGUAGUCCUGAAGCGCCUUAUCUCUAGGGUCCGCCAUGAUGAGAAGCCGUCGCUCAUAGGGGAUGCCGGGAAUGGCCAUGGCCGCCCGGGCGGGGGAAGGGGCGGGGCCUCCCUUUGACCUUUUUACUCUUCUCCGCCCUGCUC
rnacentral:lncRNA from 1 species